GAUGCUUUUAGCUUAAAGUCCGACAAAAUGACUAUCUGCAUGGCAGCCUCAUCUUCACUGGCGGCAUAUCAGGUGGGAAGAAAAGAGAGAUGAUCUGGGUGGAAAAAACAACCAAUUUGAAAAGACACCUGAAGACACGCCACCCUACAGUGUAUGCCAAGGCUGUCGAAAAUGGAGGCAAAGCUCUGAGAAAUAAUUGGCCAGCAAAUUGAGAAAUUGGUCCUUACAUCUGGAAUGCCACCUACUGUUGAGGAGCUGCAGAAAAUUGUAAAAAAAGACCUUUGCGAUUGCAGAUGAGUUCAGCCUCCAAUAUUUGGACACAGAAUUCAAGGAUUACUUCACUCUUAAUAAAACAGACCUAAUUAAACACAAAGACACCACAAAGGUUGUUAAGACUGUCCCAGUUGUUCUCAAACUUUUUCCAGUGGGUAUCACAGAAUCUGCUCAGCAGGAAACCGACUGUGACUCUGUAUCUAUCUAUGUCCAUGACAUCUUGUACAGACUUAUCUUCUGGAUCAUCUUCCUCACAGGACACCAUUAUUCUGCCACGAAGUGCCAGUGAACGAUGCCAGCUGUGGCCAAAAGAGUUCCCUGUUCCACAGUUUGCAUACAAAACGGAGAUGUACCUUGAAACAGCCACUGAAGCCUACAAGAAGAGUGGGACACUUGUAACAGCCUCAAGGGUCAAGGCAGACAUCCUUGAAAAGUUGGCGGAAUCUAUAUUUUCCUACACUGCUUAUCCAUCAAGUGCACAGAUAAGUGAUGUUGCUGAGGCACUCGUCAAGAAAUACCCUUGUCUCAAGGAAGCUGGCUUCUUUGCAGGUUACUAUGGGUGGCAGCAAAGCAUCAAAUAUAAGAUGGGAAAUUAUCCUGUUCCCGAGCUAACAUGCAAUGCACUGAAAGGCAGGAGUCCUACUGACCAGAAAUCUGCAAAAAAUGUGAAAAGCCCCAAAAACAGAGGUAAAUUACCUCCCCCAUUACCUGGCAGGAGACAGUGAGGAAAGUUUAGGAAAAGAGAGGAUCCUGUUGCUAACUGAAGUCAAAAAAGGGACAAUGACAAGGUCAUAAAAGAGAAAAUGUCCAAAACAUUUGCACUAAGAAGAAAUGAAACAACUAAUCUGUCCCCCAGCAUUGAGGACAUCAAAGCCAGAUGGCCAGCUCCAUUUGAGGCAUCUCAUGCAAGUCACAAAUGCAUAAUGAUUAAUUAAACACAAAAUGUUUGAAUUUGACAUGAUUAACAACUAUUUUCCAGAAUAUAAUGUUUAGACUUAAAGGGCUGAAUUCUGCUGCAAGGUAAUAAAUAUUUGAAUACUUCUGCUUAAAACAAAAAACAAAAGGAGAAGUUCACAAUUUUCCAGGUCUUUUGUAAAACAAUAGCCAUGUACCCAUAUGACCACUGAUGCAUGUUAUCCUGUGCAUGCUGUGCAUACCAGCUGUUCAUGGUACCUUCAUAAUAUGCUAUCAACAUAAAUGUGUUCACAAGUUUCUGAGUCAUAUGAGUGAUGCUAACCUAGUGGAAAUGUUUUUAAAAAAAAAAAAAAAAAAAAAAGUUCUUGUAAGUGUUCUCCUUUUUGUUAAAACUGUUAUAUUGAAACUGUAUUAGGAAGGGAUCUUCAGUUAGUAUGAACAGGGGAAAUGAUUACAGCAAGCAAAAUCUGUUAAAAUGUUCAUUUGGACCCCUGACAAUUGUUUUAAGACAGGCUUGAACAUUUUUCAGGUGUGUCUUUUUGAGGUAUACAGUCAGAAAACCUGAAGGAUAACUUGGUUUCCUGUGGAUUCUAAAUAUGCUGUCAGAACAUACUGUAUAAUUUUAUGCAUGGGUGCUAUCUUCCUUAUUUGUCUUUCAGAUCAAGGAUGAGUUUCAUAGAAUUACAACAGUCCGUCUGGAGUCCAAGUUCAUGUCCAUGCUUGAUCUGCACACUUCAAAGCUGCUGGCCCUCUUCCGUGCAAAGGGAGGAAGCCUUGGGGGAAGGUUGCAGGCAAUCCUACUCAAGAUAUUAUUCAAAAAGAAUGCUGUUGGAGACACUGUCGCAUGACCUUGCAACACAGAUGAUGAAAAUCUACACUACCAGUCAAAAGUUUGGACACACCUAAUUCCAUGGUCUUUCCUGAUGUUUAUUUCAUUCUACAUUGUAAAACAAUGCUGAAGGGGGCUGAAAUAUACAAUAAUGUCCUUUGAACAGUUGAUAUUGAGAUAUGUCUGCUACUUAUGCUCUGUAAAGCCUUCAUAACAGCUCUAAUCUGAGGUGCUGUUAAUUGGUGAUUUCUGAGGCUGGUCACUCUAAAUGAACUUCUCCUCUGC